GACGAACGCUGGCGGCGUGCUUAACACAUGCAAGUCGAACGGAAAGGCCCUGCUUUUGUGGGGUGCUCGAGUGGCGAACGGGUGAGUAACACGUGUGUAAACUGCCCUUGACUUUGGGAUAACUUCAGGAAACUGGGGCUAAUACCGGAUAGGAGCUCCUGCUGCAUGGUGGGGGUUGGAAAGUUUCGGCGGUUGGGGAUGGUCUCGCGGCUUAUCAGCUUGUUGGUGGGGUAGUGGCUUACCAAGGCUUUGACGGGUAGCCGGCCUGAGAGGGUGACCGGCCACAUUGGGACUGCGAUACGGACCAGACUCCUACGGGAGGCAGCAGUCGAGAAUAUUGCACAGUGAGCGGGAGCCUGAUGCAGCAACGCCGCGUGCGGGAUGACGGCCUUCGGGUUGUAAACCGCUUUCUCCGGUGAUGAAGCGUGAGUGACGGUAAUGGGUAAAGAAGCACCGGCUAACUACGUG
rnacentral:rRNA from 1 species